rnacentral:rRNA from 1 species
GUUGCUGGCUCUUCGGAGCAUGUGCACGCCUAGCACCAUUUUUACCACCUGUGCACCUUUUGUAGACCUGGAUAUCUCUCGAGGAAACUCGGUUUGAGGAUUGCUGUGCGAAAGCCAGCUUUCCUUACAUUUCCGGUCUAUGUCUUUAUAUACCCCAUAAGAAUGUAACAGAAUGUUAUUAAUUGGCCUUUGUGCCUUUAAUCAAAUACAACUUUCAGCAACGGAUCUCUUGGCUCUCGCAUCGAUGAAGAACGCAGCGAAAUGCGAUAAGUAAUGUGAAUUGCAGAAUUCAGUGAAUCAUCGAAUCUUUGAACGCACCUUGCGCUCCCUGGUAUUCCGGGGAGCAUGCCUGUUUGAGUGUCAUUAAAUUCUCAACCUUUCCAGCUUUUACUAGCUUGGUCAGGCUUGGAUGUGGGGGUUGCGGGCUUCUCAGAAGUCGGCUCUCCUUAAAUGCAUUAGUGAAACCUUUGUUGACCAUCUCUGGUGUGAUAAUUAUCUACGCCGUUGAAAGUCUUCAUUUAUUGAGGUUCUGCUUCUAACCGUCCUUUAG